rnacentral:rRNA from 1 species
AGUGAACGCUGGCGGUAGGCCUAACACAUGCAAGUCGAACGGCAGCACAGUAAGAGCUUGCUCUUACGGGUGGCGAGUGGCGGACGGGUGAGGAAUACAUCGGAAUCUACUUUUUCGUGGGGGAUAACGUAGGGAAACUUACGCUAAUACCGCAUACGACCUACGGGUGAAAGCAGGGGAUCUUCGGACCUUGCGCGAUUGAAUGAGCCGAUGUCGGAUUAGCUAGUUGGGGGGGUAAAGGCCCACCAAGGCGACGAUCCGUAGCUGGUCUGAGAGGAUGAUCCGCCACAGUGGAACGGAGACACGGUCCAGACUCCGACGGGAGGCAGCAGUGGGUAAUAUUGGACAAUGGGCGGCAGCCUGAUCCAGCCAUGCCGCGUUGGUGAAGAAGGCCUGCGGGUUGUAAACCCCUUUUGUUGGGAAAGAAAAGCAGCAGGUUAAUACCCCGCUGUUCUGACGGUACCCAAAGAAUAAGCACCGGCUAACUUC